rnacentral:rRNA from 1 species
GAUGAACGCUGGCGGCGUGCCUAAUACAUGCAAGUCGAGCGAACAGAUGAGGAGCUUGCUCCUCUGACGUUAGCGGCGGACGGGUGAGUAACACGUGGAUAACCUACCUAUAAGACUGGGAUACCUUCGGGAAACCGUAGCUAUUACCGGAUAAUAUAUUGCACCGCAUGGUUCAAUAGUGAAAGACGGUUUUGCUGUCACUUAUAGAUGGAUCCGCGCCGCAUUCGCUAGUUGGUAAGGUAACGGAUUACCAAGGCAACGAUGGGUAGCCGACCCGAGAGGGUGAUCGGCCACACUGGAACUGAGACACAGUCCAGACUCCUACGGGAGGCAGCAGUAGGGAAUCUUCCGCAAUGGGCGAAAGCCUGACGGAGCAACGCGGCGUGAGGGAUGAAGGUCUUCGGAUCGUAAAACUCUGUUAUUAGGGAAGAACAAAUGUGUAAGUAACUAUGCACGUCUUGACGGUACCUAAUCAGAAAGCCACGGCUAACUACGUG